UAUGCACACAUGACACGUUAUCACAGAAAGUGAUGCACAUCAUCACACAGCAGGGAUAAUAAACCAGUGACCCUCAAACCAUGAAGAAUAGGAGAAUCAGGAUCAGUGGCUUUGUCAUCAUGAAGCGAAGAUACAAGAAUGACGUUUUUCUUCUCGCGCAGGACGUAGGAAACCAGAACCUUCCCAUUAUGGAAAAGAAAUUAUUAUUGAAAAGAAAAAGAAAUUAUUGAAAAGAAAUUCCCAUUAUAAAAGAGAAAAUAUGAACAUGAGUGUAAGUUUGGGCGCAGUGUGCCUGAGAGGCCACCCUGGACAAACCUACGUAUUUCCGCAAAAUAUCCACAACCUUUGUAAUUUUCAUUCAUAAAACGAGCAAAAUAAGCAAUUAAUAGAUGAAAAUAAAAGGAAAAAUGAACCUUCAAAAGUC